rnacentral:rRNA from 1 species
UACGAAGGGUGCAAGCGUUACUCGGAAUUACUGGGCGUAAAGGGUGCGUAGGUGGUUUGUUAAGUCUGCUGUGAAAUCCCCGGGCUCAACCUGGGAAUUGCAUUCGAGACUGCGUAGCUGGGGUGCGGAAGAGGGAAGCGGAAUUUCCGGUGUAGCGGUGAAAUGCGUAGAUAUCGGAAGGAACAUCAGUGGCGAAAGCGGCUUCCUGGUCCAGCACCGACGUUCAGGCACGAAAGCGUGGGGAGCAAACAGG